AUUUCCUACAAUGACAAAAGAAAUUACAUUGUGUACAUUCCAUCUCUAUAGAUGUUGUCUGUUUAACGUCCCCACCUAAAAAGAAAUAAAAAGACUAUCUUUUGAAAAUAACGAAAUUUUCGUUAUUAUAAACCCGUGUCACGUGAUGUGGCGCGCGCGCUGUACCUAAAAUAAAAGAAAAACUUUCCAAACUAAACAUGAAACUUCUCCGGUAACAAUAAUAUAGACCCCAUACAGAAACAAACAAACAAACAAACAAACAAACACCCCCCAAUUCAAUUAAUUUUACAGGGGGAAAGACCCCCUACAAUUGCUUUUUUAAAGCAAUUGAUUUAUAUUUUAUUUCUGUCUUCU
rnacentral:lncRNA from 1 species